UACGGGGGGGGCAAGCGUUGUUCGGAAUCACUGGGCUUAAAGGGCGCGUAGGCGGGCCGCCAAGUCCGGGGUGAAAUCCUCCAGCUCAACUGGAGAACUGCCUCGGAUACUGGAGGUCUCGAGGGAGAUAGGGGCACGCGGAACUGUGGGUGGAGCGGUGAAAUGCGUUGAUAUCCAUAGGAACUCCGGUGGCGAAGGCGGCGUGCUGGAUCUCUUCUGACGCUGAGGCGCGAAAGCCAGGGGAUCAAACGGG
rnacentral:rRNA from 1 species